UGGGGAAUAUUGCGCAAUGGGGGGAACCCUGACGCAGCCAUGCCGCGUGAAUGAAGAAGGCCUUCGGGUUGUAAAGUUCUUUCGGUAUUGAGGAAGGUUGAUGUGUUAAUAGCACAUCAAAUUGACGUUAAAUACAGAAGAAGCACCGGCUAACUCCGUGCCAGCAGCCGCGGUAAUACGGAGGGUGCGAGCGUUAAUCGGAAUAACUGGGCGUAAAGGGCACGCAGGCGGUUAUUUAAGUGAGGUGUGAAAGCCCCGCUUAACCUGGGAAUUGCAUUUCAGACUGGGUAACUAGAGUACUUUAGGGAGGGGUAGAAUUCCACGUGUAGCGGUGAAAUGCGUAGAGAUGUGGAGGAAUACCGAAGGCGAAGGCAGCCCCUUGGGAAUGUACUGACGCUCAUGUGCGAAAGCGUGGGGAGCAAACAGGAUUAGAUACCCUGGUAGUCCACGCUGUAAACGCUGUCGAUUUGGGGGUUGGGGUUUAACUCUGGCGCCCGUAGCUAACGUGAUAAAUCGACCGCCUGGGGAGUACGGCCGCAAGGUUA
rnacentral:rRNA from 1 species